GAUCAUGGCUCAGGAUGAACGCUGGCGGCGUGCCUAAUACAUGCAAGUCGAACGCUUCACUUCGGUGAAGAGUGGCGAACGGGUGAGUAAUACAUAAGUAACCUGGCAUCUACAGGGGGAUAACUGAUGGAAACGUCAGCUAAGACCGCAUAGGUGUAGAGAUCGCAUGAACUCUAUAUGAAAAGUGCUACGGGACUGGUAGAUGAUGGACUUAUGGCGGCAUUAG
rnacentral:rRNA from 1 species